rnacentral:rRNA from 1 species
UACGGAGGGUGCGAGCGUUGUCCGGAAUCACUGGGCGUAAAGGGCGCGUAGGUGGCGCGGCAAGUCAACGGUGAAAGCUCGACGCUCAACGUCGAGUCGGCCGUCGAUACUGCCGCGCUGGAGCACUGUAGAGGCUCAUGGAAUUCCGGGUGUAGCGGUGGAAUGCGUAGAGAUCCGGAAGAACACCGGUGGCGAAGGCGGUGAGCUGGGCAGUAGCUGACACUGAGGCGCGACAGCGUGGGGAGCGAACAGG